UCACUCUGGUUUCUCUUCAAUCCCACGCAUAAAUCUUUCGCCUUUUACUAAAGAUUUCCGUGGAGAGGAACACUCUAAUGAGUCUAUAGACAUUUUUCAUAGCCCUGCCAACGGCAGGGUA